AAUAUCUACUACAUGUAAGUCCAAACUAAUCACGAUAAACAAGAUUAAAUUGACAUCAAGACAGAAUUCUCCCCGGCUUCUUUCUGGAGGAAAGACGGGAGAUUGGAAGGAGGAGGUUAAACAGUAUGUACUUUCAUUUUUGUACCAUUUCAAAAUGUAAAUAAUUUAUUUAAAAUAUCAACGAUUAACAUCGUGUAACGCUGAAAGCUAUUCAAAUUUUUAGUUGUAAAUGUGAAUACAUUUUCUUCAUAUGUUUACCAGCUUAUUCAAAGUUAGCUGAAACUAGAAACAAUUAUUAGGAGUGAAGCAAUAUGACAAGUAAACAAGACACGAUAUAUUUAAAAUUUUGUGACAUUUUUUUGUUAAAUAUGAACACCAUAUUCAUUUUAAACGUUCACCUUAGAUAGAAAAUGAACUAAAUAUGUGUUUAUCUUCUGGCAUGAAGUAUGAAGUUUCUAGGGUAAAAUGAACGCACUUAGAAAUUUUAGACUGCGUCAUUUAUAAAACUUUUUCGGCAGAUGCAAGUUUUUAUUUUGGUAGUGUACAAAAUGGCGGAAUAAAUGAUAUAUAUACUUAAAACAGCUGUAGAUGGCCAUCAACCAAUAGAAAUGUUUAAAAUUUGAGACUGAAUUUGUCAAAGUCAUAUAUCAUAAUGCCUGUUGUCAUGUUUGUGUUUAAUGGGGGAAACAUUAGCCACGCAAAAUUGAACUGAAAGUUAAAUUGUGUUUGAUGAUUGGUAAUGACUAUUCUACCGUGGUGAGUUUUGCUUUCCUUUAUCCUCAAUUUGCAUCAAUUAUAUAUGAGCUGCAGGCUGAUUUGAUGACAUGCUUGGCGUGCUGUAUUCUUUGUUUACGUUUUUUUCAUUAAUACAUUUCGAGUUAUUUGAGAAGGUAGAAAAUAUUUGUUUUUUAAUAAAGAUCCUUUUUUAAACUUCGUUCCGACAUGACAGAAAAAAUAUUUGUUAAUGAAGCAUAGCUUUUUGGCCAUUUCAUGUGUUGAUGUUGAUGUACAUGUACUUAGUUUGGCACACAGUGUAUGUAUAUUAUAUCAGGAAAUUACAUACUUUUUAAAAUAGUUUUAUUUCCCGGGAAAAGACACCAUUAAGACAAUAAUAGUGUAGAUUAUGUACCAUCAUAUAAAAUAGGCUGGCUAUUGUUCAACAUAUAUACACAAAAACUUGUUUGGCACCCUAAUUAUGUUAGCAAAUAUCGUUUUAAAAGUUCUUGUGCUGAAAAUUUUCAAACUUAUUCCUCAGAUAAACACGAGAGCCAGACACAAAAUUAAUGUUUAGAAACCCGCUUUGCAUGCACACGUUUAAGAGUUUACGCGUAAAGCCAAAAUCAUUAUAAAUGUAAACAAAAAUCAAUUACAAAACUUGGAUAAGACGAUGUUUUGACAAAUUGCUAACUGAUACAGGAAACAUGAUAAAACUAAACACCUGGUAAUCUAAGACAUUUUUCUUAAACGUUAUUAUUUCGAAAUAUUAAGGUUAACUUGAUAAAAGAGCUAUACAUGUAUUCUUACUUCGUUAUUAUAAUGUAUAAUUUCACAAAUUAAUGUACACGUAGAUAUUCGCAUGUCUAUAAUCAGGUAUUCUGUUUCGUUUCUAUGCGCAAUGACACUGGAUAAAUUAUACGUCAAAUUUGAUGCAAACAGUGAAUCAUUAUCCUUGCACAUGUGCAGUGAAAAUCCUGAGAAGAAAAAAAAACACAUACAUGUGAGACAUACUUGCGUAAGUAGUAAGUUCGGUAAUUCAUUAGUUUCACCCAUUUUGCACGCAAAUUUUAUCUGCCGUCUGCAACCCCAGCAACAUUGCAGCAGACGAGAGCUCUUUUGUUACGAUGACCUCUUUCAAGCUGACAGUCAUGAUGUAUGUUUCACAAACGCUCAAAUACUUCCUCUGAAAUGUAAAAUAUCAGCUAUCAGGAUCAUACAUCUUUUUCAUGAAUAAAGUAUUUUGAAACGAGAUAUACAAUUUAUUGUUUGCACCUUAUGCGGAUAAUGUUAAGUGAAUACCUUCUCAAAACUUCUUCAAAAGUAUUUAUCUUCUGGUGCGUGACGUUGACUUUGGAUUUUGAAUUUUAAACACGAUACUACUGUUACAUUAAUGAAUUAGCAUAAAACACAAAAAGACGGUUGCCCGUCAUUGUAUCAGGCAAAAAUCUACUCGAUUUGAAUUACCUUCUUCUAUACCUACUGAGCGUCUACCAGUUGCCGCCAUCUUUAAAAAUGGCUGCCUCCAGGGAAGGAUGAGUGAGGCUGAGUGACACUGACGUGAAAUAUGAAAUUGGAAGUAACGUUUGGUCAGCUGUUUCUAUUUUCGGAUACAUUUGGAUUCACCGUGGAUCAGUGACCGGCAUAUACCCUGUAGAUCCGAAUUUGUGUGAUAUUUAGCUACAAAUUCGGUUUUGCAGGAUUUCUGCGGCGCUAUGUUAGUCAACUAUGAGGAAAUAUCAUGGACUUACAUUACUCGGAUUUCGUAGACAGAAAAAAUUUCGAUGCAAACGUGCAGAACUACCUUAACUGUUAAAAGGGGUGCUUACCAAAAAGAUACUGACUGAAUGGCGAACAGUGCAUACCAUAGGCUGAUCAUGAUCUACACUGGUCGCAAAGGCAGAAUCAUUCGUUUCCAGCAUGAUAAGGGUUAACAUGCCCCUUGUCUUUCUCCAAACUGGGACCACUGUAAAACGGAAACGCCCCUAAACUGCACGAAUGUUGGCACGUAGGAUUAUGCAAACGUCAGAGGCAAGAAGAUUCGCACCUUUGAAAGCUCGACCCUACGCUUAUGUGGGCCAAAUAAUUCGACGUAAAAGACCAUAAUCACGUGGCAAAAGGACGACCCGUUUAACAACUGACGUCAUAUUUUCUGUGAUUCUAAGGGACAAGAAUGUAGUCUGGUUUUAUAUGCAAUAUUCAACAGCUGAUAAUAUCAUUGCAACGAUACCCUUUAUUUAUUACCUCCCUUGACUGAUUUUUCUAUCAAGUCUUAUAAACAUUCUGUGCCAGUUUUCGUUAAAGGGUUAAUCUAACAAUUUUUACUUAAUCCAAGCCAGUGCUAACUACGCAAGCAACUGACGUAUUCCACACAGUUAACCGAGGUGGAGGACGAAUGAUUUCAGACGCAUUACAAAACCAUUGUCGAUCUUAAUCUUUUUAUUUUUGUCACAAUUAUAGGUCAUAUGGCGACUUUCCAGCUUUGAUGGUGGAGGAAGGUGCCCCUCCGUGCAUUAUUUCAUCGCUGGAGGGAACCUGGGUAGAACCACCUACCUUCCAUAAGCCAGCAGGAUGUCUUACUCACAUGAAGAAUUCAAUGCCCCGAGUGAGGCUCGAAUCCACAUUGGUGAGGGACAAGUGCUUUGAAGUCAGCGACCUUAACCUCUCGGCCACGGUGGCCCCUACAGACCAUCGUCAAAUCAUCAGGCACAUUGACCGUUAUCGUACUAUUAUUCUUCGUUGUAAUUUUAAGGUAGUGGACCCGUAUUGACUGUCGGCAAAUUAUAUGAUCACCGUAUGCCAUUUCAGCGUUCAGUGGUGUUUUGGCGGGAGAAAGCCAUGUGCGCAAGGAGUCCGAAGAAUGCCGAAUUUCCUAACGAGAGUACGAAAUCACACGGAUGUCGCUGAUUGUUAUUGCUGGCCUACUACUUUAAGAUGAAGACAUUAUUCCCGAUGCGCAGCGAGUCUAGUCGAACAAGAGUCGUUCAAGACGAAAAACACGUCUGGGUGGCGGCAAUUGUUUUAUUUAGCUGGAAACGUUCAUAAAAUGGUGAAAAUACAACCAUAAGACAUAUAUCUACCAGAGUGAAUCAGGAUCCACGCAUAAUUCACGUCCCGUCAAGAAAUGCAACAUUCCACCAUCUUGAUCAUUGCGCUGGAAGAUGGAAAAUUCGUGAAGGGGAAAAAUGCCGAUUAUCCAGAUUGCCCAUCCACAUAUCAAGUUUAACACAUAGAUUCCGUGAUUUAUGACGUAUUUUGGAGCGUUCGACGGUUACCAUAGAAACGAUGGAAAAUCAAUCAUGAGAGUAUGUUGAUCAUGGCUUAAAUGACUGAAUGAGAGUUUUACAAGUAUCAUUAAUUGUUUUCUUUGAUUUAUGACUUUUAUGCACGCAGAUAUUAAAACCUUUUCAUGAAAAUGUAGAAAAAUACGAGUAAUAUAUUAUUUUAUACUAUUUUUGUCAUUUUUAACUAAGAAAGAAUAGAGUAUACAACUUCUGUGCAAGUUUACUCUAAAAGACCUAAGACCAGUGUGACAUAACAAACAAUAUUUUUUAAAACGGCGGCUGAUUAUCAGAAGUAAAUAAUUCACAAUUGCAAGGGUAUAAAAUAUUUUUGAGAAAUAUUGUUUUUUCUUUAUUUGUAAUUCAACAGUGUGUAUUGAUAGUUAUUAAAAUAUUCAGAUUUUGUGUAAGGAUCUUGAACAAAAUAGACCGUUACAAGCAUUAA